GUCACACUAAAUGGCACUAGACUUUAUCAUACCUUUCUUAUGGAUUUUUCUUUUUGUGCUGUGUGCAAUCCCUGCUUGCAUCUGCAGCUAAAACCAAACUAGCUCCCAUGUUUCAUGAUUGAGCCUCUUGUUCUAAGACAUCACUACUGCUACUUAAUGAUACUUGAUUUACACAGCUGCCUCAUCCUGCCCAAGGACAGAGUGUGUAAGUGCCCUGCUCAGCCUUGAAAAAGCAACCCAGCCCACAGAGGAUGCACUGAGCAUGGUUUGUGUUACUGUCACUGGCUCUGGUACAGUCUUACGUGGCUGGCUGCAGUUUAACCAGGGAAAGCGAUGUCAUGGAGUAACAAAUAUAAUCUGGACCAUAAUCUCAAGGAUGAAGUCCUGUCAAACCAAAAUAUAAUUUCCUCACCUAUCUACAAAUGUAAAAUGUGUGAUUAGAGAGGAUUCCUGAUGCAAGUGUGAUGGGCACACGUGCAGCAGCGGUAAUGGGGAGAUCAUGCAAGUAUAGCUGGCAUCCAAAAGGAGCAGCAGACCCAACCUCCACCAUUCAGGUAAUUUGGUUGAUCAUGUCCUUAUCUGAGUUUUCUCAUAAUACUUGGUAUCUCUGUUUUAGCUAAAGCAAACAGCAGAGAACAGCAUUACCUAAAAUAGUUCUGGAAGGAAACAGCAAACAAGCAAACUGAAGACUGAGAGCCUGACAUUAAUAUUUUCAAGAGGUAACAGCUAGCUCAGUCUUGUCACAAUUCUGUUGCAAACUCAGAUUUUCAUAGUUCUAUCUGCUGACUCCACACAAAGGAUUUUGUUACUAAUGUGCAAUUGUAUUUUGUGAUGCAGGUCCUUACUUCAUGCCAGUUAAGCCUCUAUGUCAGUGGAGUUGCAGGAUUGCCUAUGCUAUUCUGUGUACAUUAGGAAAGCUACAAGAAAUUUAUUCCUCAAAAAGUCACCAGAUCAGCCCAAAAUGACCUCUAGCUAAAGGUUGAGAUACAGGUAAUAUUUUCAACUUUCAGGCCAACUCACAGAGUCUUAUUUAUUCCAAGAGGUGGUUCAUGCUCCUCAACAUGAAGAAUGUGUGAUUCACGGGUUUAGUCCUCUCAGGCACCUUUACUAUAGUAUCUACUGUACAGGAGCAUCAUUUCUUGGUGUCAUGAAUUUCACCCUCUUCAGUAGAGCACCUAAUUUGCUUGGUAUCAUUUGGUUGACAUGGCUGCUUUAUUUUUAGCCAAAUAGAAGUACAGAACAUACUUAUCAGUAAUUCAGAGUAUUUUUAAGUCCUAUAUGGAUUCUUUUGAGAAGCACUAAAACAAGUUAUUAUUGAGAUAAAUAGUACAUGGGGGAAAAAAGUAAUGUUUUUAGAUUAAAAGCUGGAACUGAUGGGAAGGUGGAGUUUUUCAAUUUAUUUGAAGAGCUACACUGAAUUCAGAAUUCAGUCAGACAAGCCAUCCACAUUCCUACAAAAAACGUUCCUAUUCUCAUUCAUAAUUUUGCCCUGUCCUCUCUUGAUCAAUUAAGACAGUCCUAAUGGGCUCUUUUAUCAACAGAACUUCUGUUUUAAUCAAGAAAGGGGCACUAGUCCAAGUAAUAGUUUUCCCUCUUGCAGUCUACAAGUUGUAUUUUUCCUUAUCAUUCAAUUAUAAAAGGAAGUGUCAACAUUAUUUCUUUCUGCAGUUUUGAAGAAUUUGUUUCUUUGUGCAAAAUAGCUGGCCCCACCACAGUCCAUGAUACUCUGGGCCAUAUCCAAAACCCUUGACAGGUUAGCUCCUUUCACUUGCUUACCCUUUCAUAGUAUUUUCUCUUUGCUUUUGUGAAAGUAACUCAAGACUUUGCCCUGAAGUUGUUUUUCUUUAUAGUGAAUAAAACUGUAUGAUGGUCUGAGAGUACAGAAUAUUUAUGUGAAAUCUGUGAAUAUUUAAUUUUCCUGUAGUUCUUCAGUAGGUCCCAAUCAAGGCAUGAACACUUUGCCUGGUUAUCAAACAACAGGAGAUAAUCUACGAAAAUAUCAUUCUUGAUUAUUGCUACACUUCAGUGAUACGGUUGUUAAGAUUGCUUCAGAAGGAGAACUUCCUCUGGGGAUUUCAGAGUCAACCAGCUGCCAGUCAUGUUUUAUAGUAAUUGAAGACAUAGAGUUAGUUUUAAAGCCUUGUAUUUCAUACUGAUGUUUCUUUCAAAUAGAUAUAUCCAUUCAAAACAAACAGUUGUCAGUUAUUCAAAAGCUGAAAAGUAAGUGUAAUGCAGAUCAUAUUUCUGUUCAAAUUAACACGGCUCAAUAUUUGCAAUAUUUUGUGAUCAGAUUAUAGAGCCAGCUGGAGGAGCUUAUACCAGAAUGCCUUCAGUUUUAGUCCUCUAGUAUAGUUUCUCCAAUGACAUAAUUUCAAUUUAUUUUAGCUAGUAAUAGCAUCACACCAUAUGAUACUGUGUUAAAUGUUGGUAUCGAUCUUUAUCUUUAAAAAUGCAUUAAACAUAAAACAUAUAAAACAUAAUAAAAGUGUAAAAGAGCAUGAUAGUUCACAAAUUAGCAAGGUUUUCCUGUUAAGGCUAUCUGGUUAGCUGUUUUACUAUGCAGCCUACUCAUCCCCAGCACAAAGCUCCUAAAUAGCAUGUGUUUUUUGACACAACUUAAAGAUAUUGGCCUAAGUUAUGCAAAGACUAAGCCUAUGUGUGGGUAUGCAGCAAGCAUGAAAUGACAUCUGAAACACUGUUAUCAUUAAGCUGCAUAUUUUCUUCAUUGUAUUGCUUUUUAUGUUAAUAGUGGAGACUUUUUUCAUCACCACCUCACCUUCACUGCAUGGGGUGACAUGCAGUGAGCGUGUCACAACAUGCAGUGAGCAUGUCACAGAGCAGCUUCUGGGCAGCCAGGCAGUUGGGCAUCACUCUUGAGCCAAGAUGUCUCCUGGCAAUGUGCAUUUCCACUAGACCCUUCUAACCAGAAAGCUCUGAAAUAUUGCAACCUUAUUUGCCUCUGCCAGUGAAUUCAGCCUUGUUUCACAGCAGUGCCUGUACAAUGCCAGUACUACAUAUAACCCCAUGAACUCAUCCAGGGAACAUCUUGUUGAAUGAGCCGGGAUGUUUCUUUCAUUCUCCCCUACAAGCCACUUGGAAUAAAUCCUAUAAAAAUAAUGCAAAUUGCUGUCAUUAAGAAGAUAAUCCUGUUUGGCCUAUAUAGAGCGCAUAUUUUUCUCCAGCAAAACAUCAGAAAUUAUUGUUUCGUUCAUCAAAUAGCAUAUAGGCUAUGCCACUGGAGCUGAAAAAUAACACAACAUCCAUUUUUCAUUUUGUACCCACCCUCAAGUUAUCAUUGUUGUAUACAACUGUAAACCCUGGAUUUAACCUAGCAGAGUUUAUGGGUGAGAGUUACCUGAAGCAGGGAUCACCCUUGGUCUGGCCCUGACCUGGACAAACUUGGUAUAUUCAUUAUAUCUCACAGUACUUAACACUAAUAUGUUAAUUCUAUUAAUAUAUUAUACUACACAUCAUACAGUCAUUCAUAAUGAGAUUUUGUUGCUGGGGAAAUGACAGCAGAUCCUAUGACAAAAGAAUUUUAGCUUGUAGGACUUCAGUUUUAUGGAAAAUAGCACACUCAGUCCAAAUGAAAUCCAAAAGACUGGCACCCCCUAAGCUUAAUUCACAGUCCUAAAAAUAUCAUGCUGUCCUUUCUGAAACUAAUGUAAACCAUCACAUUAACUCAUUUCAAAAAUUCCAGUGAGGAGUUUGGCUUGGAGAUGGAAUAGAUUAAGCAGGCAAAUUGACUGCAAGUACUUCAAACAUCAGUUUUAUUUAGAAACAGGGGUUUUCAGCUGAUGCUCAAUGCAUAUUAUUAAACUGAAAGUUGAAAAAGUACUUUAAAUGACCUGCUUGUGGCUCAAGAUAGCUUUGUACAUAUUCUUCAUUCAGAGUACCAAGAGUACCAAGUACCUUCUCAGAGUUCCUGGAAAUUUGACUUAUAUAGAACUAGUAAAAGAAUUCAUGCAAAAAAAGCUUAUUGAAUUAAACAUUAUAUAUUUUAUUUAUAUAUAUGGAUGGCAGCAUAAUGCUUUUCUAAUUGUUUAUUAAUACCUUAGAAUCUGGCUAAUACAGCAAUGUUAAUAGUAACUAUCAAACUUGUUUACUAAUUCUUUAAUUUUCUUCAGGUUACAACAACUCUCUUCUUAGGAAAGUGCCUGAGCUACUGGCCAUAGGCAUUUUUUGAAUAAAGGGAUUAUUAAAAUUCCCUGUCAUAACAGGGCACAAAGAACUGCAAAAGAGAGCACAUAGGCAAAGCCAAACAGGAUUGAAUUCACAAACAGGAGGUAAAGCUUGAAUAACAUGAUGUCCUUCUAUGAAAUAGACUGAUUUGGUAGAUAAGGGUAGAGCAGGUGUUUUUUUUCACCUGAACUUCAAUAAAGCUGUCUCCCACGGGCUGGAUGGAGAGACAGAUGGAUUUCUGUGCUACAAAGACAUUGUGGAGGCCAGCAGCCAGCAGAGUAUCCAAGGGGUGACACUGUGUACAAUUCUGCUCAAUGUCAUCAGGAUGACGGGGCAGAGUGUGACCUCAGCAAGAUUGCUGGUUAGGCAAAACUGAUGGGAGUGGCUGACACACCAGAGGGAUCUGGACUGGAGAAAUGGGAUAACAGGGACAUCCUGAUGCUCAGCAAGGAGAAGUGCAAAGUCUUGUACCUGGAGCAGAACAAGCCCAGCACCAGUACUUGCUGGGGACUGACAGGGUGGAAAGUAGAAAAGGAUUUGGGUGUCCUGGUGGAGACCACAUCAACCAUGGGUCAACAAUAGUCAUUGUGGCAAAAACUAAUGGUAUAUCCUGUGCUGCAUUAGAAGGAGCACUGCCAGCAGGUUGAGGGAGGUAAUCCUUCCCCUCUACUCAGCACUGGAAGGGCCACCACUGAAGUGUUGAGUCCAGUCUGCUCUCUUCAGUAUAAGAAAGACAUGGACAUGAUGGAAAGAGUCCAAUGAAGGGCUAUGAGCAUGAUUAAGGAACUGCAGUAUCUCUCCCAUGAGAAAAGGCUGGGAGUGCUGGAAAUGUUAAGCCUAGGGAAGAGAUGGCUCCAGGGGAUCUCAUCAAUGUAGACAAAUAGAUGAAAGGAGGAAGCAAAAACAGAGCCAGGCUCUUUUUAGUAGCAUCCAGUGACAGAAUCAGAGUCCAUGGGCACAAACUGAAACGCAGGAUCUGCAGGCUGACCAUCACUUCAUGUGAAGAUGACUGAAGCUCAGCAGAGGUUGUGCAGGGAGACUGAGGGACUUUCAUAUUCAAGGACCACGUGGAACAGUACUGUGUAACAUGCUCUGUGUGGUCCUGCUUGAGGAGGGAAGUUGGACAAGGUGAACUCCAGAGGUCCCUUUGAACAUCAGCCCUUCUGUGGUUCUGUGACCCAGAACUCUAUUGUUAUGGUCAAAAAGUGUCACGAGAAGAGUUGUUGUGUCUCCUGCAAAGACUGACUCUUUUACCCACUGGUGGUGGUGCUGACAAAGUUGCACUUCUCAUUGGUUGUACUCCGGCAGUCCCAGAAGCAGUGGGAAGCUCAGACUUUGGUGAUCAGCCUCCUGAUAAAGCCUACCCCAUCCAGACCUCAGUACAGACCUCGGACAAAAGGCCAAGAAAAGAUUUUUACUUCAAAGUUAUUGAUUUAUUUAUAGAACUGUGAUAAACAUCUGAGGAUAACAGACACAGAUUCAUUAGCUUUCCAUGCCAUAAUGUGUAUUUCUCAAAUGAUGUCAAUUGUUACAAAUGUUUUUCUUGUUUUCCUCACAUUUAUUUAACAGACAAUCACAUCUUAAACACCUGAUCCUAAAUGUUCCCUCCUAUAGAUGUAAGUUCCAUCAUCACAGUCUUUCAGUCUGUUUUCAGACUCAGGAUCUCUUCUUAUCAGGUACUGCAUAUUUUUUAUUAUGUUUUAGAAAGAGAGAAAAAAAUAUUUUUUUCCAGUUGGUAAAAAUUAGUCCGUAAGUCAGAUUUCAAUGCAGCUUGCAAGUUUUCUACAGAUUUCAAGAGCUAAGGGGAUAACUCCCCAUUAAAAGAUCUUUGACAUUAUUCCAUAUGCACAGUAUUAAUGUAGUAUUUAUUUCCAUCAAGGUAUAUUUCUACUUCCAUUUUCUUUUUCAGUUACUACAGUGACAUGAAAAAGUAUGAAGUCCCAUUUUCAUUCAAGAUGACAGUAAUAUCAGUCUCUAUAGCAAGGUUCUUUUGUCAUUUCAUGACUUUAAAAAAUCCACUUAAAUAAACAGCAAGGAAGAAGGCUCUAGAAAAAUUAAUAACUCACAAAAAAAUUGCAUAUUUUCUGUGAACUGCCAUUUGCAAAUCCCUAGGAUGGUUUUCAUCCAACUGUGAUCAUAACAAACCUUUCCAUCUGUGUAUUUUUCUAUGAGAAAUCUUCAUCAGAAUUAUUCCCCAAAGGCUUUACAGGCUCAAAAAUCUCAACAUAGUUCCAUCAUUCUCACAAGAGUAGUGAUAAAGAGUUUAAGAAAAAGUUAAGAUCUUCUUAGGCUUUCUCAGACAUUCUAAUGAGUAAAUCAACUAUAUUUUUUCUUUGAAAACACUGAUGUUAACAAUACUAUGUCUUGGUGUUCCUCUAAGUUUUAAAAUGUGUUUUCUUGCAUGCAAUUUGUGUGGAAUGUUUGUCACUUCAAAUCUUCUAAAUUUGACACGACUUUAUAAACAAGGAUCAUUAUUCUGAAAAAUAAUAAUUCUGCAUUUUUAUUUGAUUUCUAUUAUAUUUCCUGGAGGCUCCAAAAGUUCUCCCCAGAGAGUUGCAAAUUAAACACAUCAGUAUUCCAGAAAUACUGGAAUAUUGAUGUAGGUAAAAUGAGGCCAAAAGAAAAAAGCCUGCUGUUUCCUAAAGUAUUUCUUGUUCAUGUCAAAUAGUUGCCUGUGGUGUUGGAUACAAACAUGUUUGACAAGUGAUUUAUAGCAAAGUUCAAGAGAAAAAGAACUUGUUAGAAGAAAAAGAUCUAGAUAUACUGAAUCUCAAUUCUGUUUUAACCUUAAAACGAUCAUUUGACUUUUAUUGAUGGUAUCGGAACAGCUAUAGUAUAUUAGAACAAAAUUUUGUGUAUAAAGGAAAGUUAUUGCAGUUUCUUGAAACCAAAGUCUCAGUGAAAUGAAAUUCAGGAAAGCACUUCAGUGCACAUCUGAACCCAUUCUUUUUUACCAAACUGAUUUGCAAAAACGAGGUUUUGGUGUUUCCUGGUUCAGUACACAAUUCCCCUCUGUUCCAGAGGUUUGCAAGUGAAGAGGUAAAUGGAACUAAGGGAAAGAGAAUCUUUCCAAGAAACAGGAAGACUGAGGAAGGGAAAAAGCACUAUCUGAAAAAUGCAUCAUAGCUUCUUUUAAAAUAAAACAUCUUUUAAAGUAGGCCAUCCAAUAAAAAUAUGCAUUUUCCUGCUUUCUACUGAAAUAAACACAUUGAAAGAAAAACAUUUAGUUAAGUUUUAAACUUUAAGGGUAUGCCUAGGUGAGGCACUGAGUAAAGAGACCAGCAGAAUCAAAGCAUGAUGCAGGUAGGGAAUUGCUUUUGCGGGAAGUAGGGCUCAGUUGUAAGAACAUGAAGACAAGCAAUGUGCUCUGAAUUGGACAGAAAUAUUAAUCUAAAUGAGCUAUCUGAACUUAAUACUUUUAUUUAUUAUUAUCUUUUAAGUCAGCCAAACAGACAUUUUCAUAUUGGAUGUACUUGCAAAUCCAGUAAGACACAUUUCUCAUGUGAGGCACUUUGCCAACAAUGGAGCACGAAAUCGUGUGUCCUAUAUCUAAGAGGUAAAAGAGACACUCUACCAGAUGACCUCAAUAGGAACCAAUAUCAAAGAAGGACAUUAAAGAGUCAGUGUAGAAAAAGAAUUUCAGACACCAUAGCACACAAGCAGCAUUUAAACACAUUGGCCAGUGCUUUCCUAGGACCAGAAACAAACCCCUAAUUUAAUGGGCGAUGCUGUCAUUUUUGCCACAUGAUAGAAGCACAUCAGUCAUGUGUUGAUGAAGGGGCUGUGGAGGGAAGGAACGAAGCAAGCAGGGAACACAUCAGAGGCUGGCGAAACCGUGAUUUCCAUCCCCAUCCCACUCCUUGCUCAUGCCUUGCAGGCGCUUGGGAAAGAGGCAGCAGGAACAGGCUGUGGGCUAUGAAAACUGUUAGCCAGACUGUAUCCAUAUGAUGGGUCAUACUUCGGGCUAAAUUAUCAGAGUUUUAAAGAAACAAAUUGAGAAGCCUACAGGUGCUGCUGAGAAGUUAAACUGUUUUACACUGCCGCUUGUCAGAGAGCAUAUAGCAGCUCCUUCUUCUUCUAAUAGAGUAGACUGCAUUGAAGUCAUGUAUUCAAGACAGCACUAAAACAAAUUGAUAAAAUAAAGGCAAACUAAUCCCAUAGUACAGAAUGAAUUUGCAGUGCAACUCAAAGGAAGUUGAGACAGAGACAUAGUCUUACCCAUGCACUGGGACAUUGAAAUCAGUGUUCUGAGCCCUUACACUGGUCUCCUGGCUGAUUUUGAGACAUUCAUUCCACCAUCCCACACUUCAGUUUCUACAGCUCCAAAACUCUCAUACAAAUUAAGUGAUUUUGAGACCUGAUUUUAUUAAUAAAAAUUGAGAUGAACAUUUAAAAGGAGAUGCAAGCAGCGUAUAUGAUCUGUUGCUAAAAUCUUUAUUGGAGGUUUAAAUAAAAAAAAUGUUUUACUGCUCUUUUAAAAUAAUAUUCAAAGGGUGAACACAAACUUACUGAUCAAUAAGACUUAAUCCAAUUCAAGGUUAUUCUAAAUGCAAGAAAAAAUUAAAACAAAAAUAACCCAGCUAUGGUUGGGACAACAGAGCUUCAUAAUUUAAAAUAAAAACUACCAAAACACAAAUAAACAAGAUCACAUACCUUAAACUUAUUGGAAUUAUUUUGUUUACAGACAAAAGACAAAGUAAAGCAGAAAUUAUUUAUAUUUAUAUAUUUACUAGUUUUUCUGUGGUUCUGGACUACUGAACCUGUGAGAAAGAGCUGGUUUUUGAAAGUUCCAGGCACUUUCAGCUGGAAAGGCACAGUGAUGGAUUCUAGGUUACCUGGAACCAUACAAAAGAAAUAUCUGGGGUUUGGAAAGCUGUAAAUAUAAUAAUAGUAAUAAU